GCGGUCGUGGCGGAAUUGGCAGACGCACCAGCUUGAGGGGCUGGCGGGAGCAAUCUCGUGCAGGUUCAAGCCCUGUCGACCGCA
rnacentral:tRNA from 1 species